AAAAUAGGUUGGAAUAUCUUGUUCAUUGCUAUGGAUAUGAUAUUAGUCAAUGCACAUAGAAGUUAGCAAAAAAUCUUGUAAAUAUAUCAAAGACAGUUGAAGCUUUUCAUCAACGACAUCUAUCAAAAUUAAGAUGGAGAAUAGCAAAUCUUUGUUAUAAUAAAAUAAGGUCAAAAAAAAUAAUACUUUAUAUUUUAUUUUAUUUUUAUAGCUUCUAUGUAUUUAAGGAGAGGAAGAACUAACAACUAGCACAUUCAAUUCAAGAGCUUUCAUUUGCAAUCUUACCAAACGAGACAUUAUAAUUGU
rnacentral:lncRNA from 1 species